AUGGAGGAGGCGGUGGGGCUGCUGGUGGAGCGCCUGGUGAAGCCCGCGCUGCCGCAGGGCCUGGAGCGGCCCUAUAUGGCGCCCGAGAAGCAGACCGCCGUUGCACAGCAGAUUCAUACGGCUAUCAUUCCGUACAAUUACUACCACAGCAUGAUGUUUCCAUACCUUCUGUUUGCUGAUGCCAAACUGUUUCUUGUGUGUGCUUCACCUUUUAUUGGAGAAGAUAUGCUCACGCACUACCACAAGCAGCAAAACAAGUCUGGGAAGCAUGUGAGCUCAUCUAUUUUUGACAGAGCGGCAAUGCAGGCUUGUGAGAUCGCCCGGGGACUGGAUGCAAGCAAAGAUUCUCCAGACAUGGCAUUGUGGCCAAUAUCAAAAGUUGCCGUGCUUCUUCUCGACCCAACAAGAAAAAGAUGUUUGAUGGAGUGUAGUGCUAAUACUGAGGGUAUCUGGUCAACCAUAGAGAAGGAAAUUGAUACAGAAGCUGGUAAUUCAGCUUUGGCUGGACCAUAUAUGUUUCAGAAACUAGCAUUUUCAGAGGUGGAGCAUAGAACAGGUAUGGAGCGCUCAAACUUCCGUGUUCUCGACGAAAAGUUGGCAUAUUCAUUAAGUAAAGAAAGGACACUACCAAGGUGUUCAUUCUGGAGUAUGUCCAAACCAUGA
rnacentral:rRNA from 1 species